rnacentral:lncRNA from 1 species
CUUUAAAAUUUUAUCGAAACGUCAAAUUCAAAGAAAAAUUAAAUCAAAAGCAACUUUGUUAUUGCAACAAGGUUUGCCCACGAAUAGUGAUAAUGAGACUAAUAUCCCUUCUAUUCCAUUAUUGCCAAAAAACUGCAGUGAAAAUAUAACUACACCUUUAAACACUGUAACCCCAAAGAUUUGUUUAGAGCCUAAUGCAUCCUGUUCUAAAUUUAAUGAAAAUAGUUUGAAUGAGGAAAAUAAUUUAGAAUUCUUGGAAACUGGAUCAACUUUUGAUUUUGAUUCUGUCACUGACUCGUCUGAGGACAACGUAAAUGAUGAUGGUAGUAAAAAUGUAGUUUCCUCGUUAAGCCAAUGGGCUUUUCAAAAUAAUAUUACGAGUACUGCAACUACUCAACUUUUAUGCAUCUUAGCGCGUUGGACGAAACUGCCAUUAUGGUCGAAACUAUCCAAAGCAAUUUGAACAACAGUGACUCCGUUGGCCGUGCUCUGUAAUAGGCCAUGGAUCUGGUAUGAAACAAAAUGCACGUGACAUAACUACAUUACAGACAUUAAACCAGAAUUCAGUUGCACACAGUUUUAACAAGUCUGGCUUCAAUUCAAACGACCAAUGAACAAAUACUUCUAACCAUGCAGGAAAUAUUACGAUUUAAUAAAAAAAUUGCUUUAGAAAAAUUAAUUGCCCCUGAAAAUUUACCAUCUUUUCCUCUUAAGUCCAUGGAUGAAUUUUCAGGUUUUGAAAAUUUAAUAAAAGGGGACUCGACCGUCAAACAAUAUAUGGUACGUCGAUUAGCUGCUUUGGGAGGAUCCGGGGUUGAGGCCGUAACCAGACGUAUUAUGAAAUUUCUACUUACUAGUGAGGUAGGGAACCAAUUUAAUUGGAAGGGCCGCCAUAACAAAGUUAGUUUUGAAACCACUGCCAGUAUGGCUAUUGUUUACGAGGCCGCCAGGCUUAAUUUUCCUAUGGCCGAAAAAAACGAUUUAAAGGUAGUAUGGAGCGUAAAGGAGUGGCUAAAGCAUUCAGCCACGCGCAUAAAACAUGGUGAAAGGAUUUAAAUAUUUGCCUCAUCUAUAGGUUACGACGUUUCUGUAAAUGUACAUGUUAUAAACCUUCUUUUUUCUUAAAAAUUAGUUCAGUUGCGUUUAGUCUUAAACAUUGAUUGAGUUAUUUUUUUUUAUCAAGUUUACGUUUGUGUAAGAAUACUUUAUUCUAACAGUUUUUUGUUAAACAUUAUUUCAGUUGAACUUAAUUUGAGUAAUGUUAAUAUUUUUUUAUUCUUAGAUUAAUGUUUACGUUUGUGUAGAUAUACAUUAAAAUAUUUACCAUUUCUUUUGGUAUAAAUUGGUUUAGUUGCGACUUAUUUAAAGAAUGUUA